AUGAAUGGUAAGACAAAUAUAAUGUAAUGUGAGAAAGAUAGCUUAUGACACAAUUUAAAAUGAAAGAAAAUACAAUUCUAUAUGGGGACUUAAAAGGGUGUCAUUGAGAUGAUCUUCUAAGGUAUGUCUUUAUUAGACUUACCCUUUAAUUGCGAUGCGAGGCAAUUUUGGUAUGGAGUUUUGACUUCAAUGAGCAAAAGGGGACAUGCGAACCGAAACAUGCUUUGAAGUUGAAGUCAUUCGUGAGCUCCGAUCUUGAUCAUUGUAUGUCUGC
rnacentral:lncRNA from 1 species